rnacentral:tRNA from 1 species
CUCAGAAAAUAAUAUAAGUUAAUAUAUAAAUUUUGGGGAUUUAAAUUGAUGAAAAGUCUUUUCUGA